CCCAGAUGCAGACGAUGUUGCUUUUUAGAGGCCACUGGUUGUCGCUCCUCAGCAGAUUAAUGAGUAUGUCAGCUGACUAAAGGUGUGUUUUAAUACAGUUUUCCAGCCCUCUGCAGAUAUAGUCUUUCAUUAGACUCGAGGAGAUAGAGCACCCUCUAUCUCUCUCUUUCAUGAGUUGUGGAUCUUCCCUUGGACGCCCCUCUCUGGAGUUCCUGGGCUUUUAUCCAUGUCAACCAUUAGACGUCAUCAUCUGGCCGACUCCUCCUCUCCACCUUUGUGCAGGCCUCAUCAGUGACGUAGCCCUUCGCAGUGCCAGUGUUGCUCUCUUCCACGGGCUCUUGACCUGCUGUCUUUCACUGGUGAUCUGUGUUUCUCCCCUUCAUCUGGGGAGGACAGUGUGUGGUGCCCCCAGUGGAGGAUGAAGAAGCACUCAGCCCGAGUGGCUCCUCUCAGCUCAUACAGCACUCAGGUCCUGACCUGCCCUAACUUUGAAGCCUCCUGGUAGCAGUGUAAUGGUAAUGGAGUGUGUAAAUGGAGAAUCGUGUGCCUGCGGGACUGUCGAUCGAAGACGCUGAAGAUAUCUACCUAUUCGGAACCAUGAUAACAGGGUUCUUGCUGAUCGGAGCUGGCUUGGCCCUGGCUUAUCGAAGAAUUAAGAAAGCGGAACCGGCUGUUCAAACCCCCACAAGGCUGCCCGCUGGGAUUGAAAUGAUGGGACGAGGCGUGACUUCUCAGAAUGGGCUCAUUGAGUGCAGCACGGAUAAGAUCUUGGAGAAGCUUACGGCUGCCGUGAACACUCAGAAUAACACCUCUGAGCGCAAAUUGGAUCACAUCUUGGACCAGCUCACUGCGUUCGUGAGUUCUCAGAAUCUGCUCUUUGAGCACAAGAAUGACAAGACCACGGAGCACAAGUUUGAUAACAUCAUGGAGAAGCUCACGGCUCUCCAACGGGAGAUUGAGAGACCAGUGUCGGACUGUUAAGAAGAGCUUUGAAAUUAUGAGUUGUUCGCACUAAAGAAAACCACCAUCAUAAUGUGGCUAUCCCUUCGGCGCCAGCUGCGGGCUCAAGGCUGGAGCUGAACAAAAACUCCCUGAUAACGACUGUGUUUAGACUGUUCUUCCCAUUCCAAGCAAGGCCACCUGGGUUGGCUGGAAGACUGUUUACUUAGCCUGGCAGGGCGAAGGACACUGUCUCAGCUGAACUCUGGACACGCACACACAUACACAUACACAUACACUGAUAAGCACUCACUCAUCCCCCCCUUUCCAAACGCCUUCGAUGCUUGUUCCCUCCUAGAGAACAUGACAGGUCUGGGCCCGCGCUGGGAUGGCGGCGCAGUGGCAGGAUGGCUGCUGUGUUUGCUUAGGAUUACUCCUCACCCCCUACCCAACCCUGUGGCUUGUCACAUGCUCCAUAAUGUUGUGCUGUGGACAUUCAUGUGCUUUCUGUGCAGAGGAGUUUUUUUGUUUCCUGUUCUUAUGCUGUCCUCCCAUAGGAGCCCGGCAUGAGUAGAGGUCUCUUUUUUUCCUCUUGUACUUUCCCAUUGUAGUGUACAUUUCAGUGGUUUUCUGUAAUGUUACCGAUCUCCGACCUGUAUCCCCAUGUGAUGUCUGCGUUGUGUGUGUAAGUUCGGGGGGCGGGUCCAUUCCACUGCAGGGCAACCUGCAUGUGGCGAAUAAAGCUGAUUGACUGACUUGACUAAAGCAUGGUAGCGGGCCUGUUGUUGUUCCCCCUCAUCUGAUUAAACAUUUUAGCCCCCCCACCUUUAACUCUGUAAACAGAGAUUACUGUGAUGCCACUAAUUAACUUUUCAUCAGGAUCAUGAUAUCCAUGUCUCAUCUUCAGGCCUAAUAUAGAUAAAGACUUAAUGCGUUUUGACCUGUGCUAAGCUGGCUAAAAACUGCAGACAAGACUAUGGUCGUGUCCAAAUUCAUGGGCUGCAUCCUCCUGAGGCCGCAUUUGUAGACCGAUUACGUCACAGCAACACGCCGAGGCUGUCCAAAUUCGUAGACUCCUCUGAAUGCAAAUGCGUCUUCCUUUUCCCCGAAUUUGAAGGUUGGGUCGGGUGUAUCUUUCGUGGCCCACCAUAUCCCAGAAUUCAUAGCGCGGCCCAGCCAACUCCAGUUUCGAGCAAUGGCGGCCGCUAGUAAGUUUUAAUAUUACUCUUAUUAAUCUUUCUGUGUCACAAAAUAAACUUUUAACACAUUUUCAGGCAAGAAUGUAGCUGUGUAAACUUCAAAUAUCUGCGCGGUUUAUCAAGAAAUCACAUAUUUGCAAAAGUGCUCCGACGUUUACGGCGAGGUCUGUUAUCCACCAGCUCGAUAGCUAGCCAGGAGCUUGAGGGUCACUAGAGCCGCUGAGAACGGCAAACUCCCAGCACAUCAUUUUCAGAUCAGAUUUUCUGUUUUCCCUGAUAGGGGUAUUCCUUGUGUCACUCAAGAAUGCGAGUUUGAUUGAUGACCUUUUGGCCUGAUCUUUUGACCUUACCGGAAGUACUUCGGAAGUGGGAAGCGUGAUUAAUCAAAACCAGAUGUGUGGCUAAUCGAGAUGCAUGACGAAUUGCGUCCGAUGACAAAGAAAAAUUAUGUUUGUAAAGAGAGGGAGGGAGGGGGUCGUACCUGGGGCACAGGUUUGAGGAAAGUUCAGGGGGGAGUCAGUGGAAAUCAGAUCGCAUACAGCUGUAUAGAGAGAGACAGAGAAUUUACAACUUUUUAAAAGAGAGAGAGAGAGAGAGAGCAAAUCGAUCAAACUUUUCUACAGCACGUUAUACCACUCCGGGUCGAGAGGAGCGAUAUAGCAUGGACCGGUUGAAUGACUAUGUCGGAUUGAAGCAUGACCGAAAGCGUGGCAGGGACUUUCCCUUUGAACUUCUUCCUGUUCCAUGAUUAACCUC
ensembl:lncRNA